GAUGUCGCAUGUCUGGACUUGUUCAGUGUUGCAAUUUUUACCCUUCGUUAAUAUCUUGUUGUUGUUGUCGUCUUGUGUUAGACGUUGAGCUUCGUAGCGAUGUGCGGUAACGCUACGAUUAUUCCUGAGCGCUCCGUGUGUUUAAUGCGUUGUCCUCUUUGCGUGCAUGCGUGUGCUUUUUUUCUCCUGAUUUGUGACGUCCUCGUGGCAUGUCUGGACUUGUUUAGCAGUGUUGCAGUUCUUCCCGCUGCUAGUAUCUUGUUGGUGUCAUGUUGUGCUAGCCGCGUGGCGAUGUGUGGUGACCUGAGGUCUUAAGCCUUUUCCCUGCUCACCUAAGGAAAUUUGUGUAUCCCUGUCCUGUGCUUUCUUUACGCAAGGGUAAUGCGACUGUGUAUGUGGCAUUAUGCAAGAAUUAUCUGGUGGCAGAAAUAGGCGUAUUUUUCUCAGUGUAUUGGCGUGCGCUACGGUUUCUUGCAGUUACAGCUAUUGGAGCACACAUACGUGUAAUUUUUCGCGGUUCUUUUCUCCUUUCACGGCUUUUACUCAGAAUGUAGAUGAGGGGAAACAGUCAGCAUCCAGGUAGAGCAGGAGAAAGCCGCUCGGCAGAGGAGAGAGUUCAUGAGAAUGGAAUUUGUUUGUUUGUUUUUUGUUAUAUGUUGAGUGUUAGUAUUCGCUUUCCUCGAUAUGUUGAGGAAGUCAGCCGUUAUAGGUAUUUGUGCAGAAAUGCUGGUAUCUGAGUGUGUGGAGUAGAAAUUCCUAUAAAGCACCUCUCCUUGUGCAUUCCUGAGCUGCUGUGUGCGCGCGCGUGCUUCUUUUUCCUGGAUUGCGACGUCAUGAUGGCAUGUUGGGGCUUGUUUAGCAGUGUUGCAAUUUUACCCGCUGCUAUUAUCUUGUUAUCUUGUGUUAGCCGCGUAGCGAUAAGCGGUGAUUCUCCGAUUAUUCCUGAGGUCUUAAGCCUUUUCCCUGCUCACCUAAGGAAAUUUGUGUAUCCCUGUCCUGUGCUUUCUUUGCGACAAUGCGUCUGUGUAUGUGGCACUAUCAGAUACCAGACAUGAGUGUCCUUUUCUUGGUUUAUUGGCAUAUGCUUCAGGUUUUUUUAAGUCAAGCACAAGUGCGCGCAAUUUUUCGCUGCUCUCUUCCUCAGAUCACCGAUUUUACGAAGAAGACAGUCGCAUGGUACAGCUGAGAAGAGGGUUUCUCUGAUUGUUUGUUUGAUUUUGUUGGGUGUUCGAUAUGUUGAGGAAGUCAGCUGUUAAAGGUAUCCGUGAAGAAAUGCUUGCACCUGAGCGCAGGAUAGGAAUUCCUGAAGCACGGCACCCUCAGUGUAAAUUAAUUAUGUUGGAUAUGAGUCUGCUUCCCUGCAUGACAAGGCUGAAAUGGGAAGAGAGAAAAAAUUGGAGCGCUUCAUUAGUAGCGAUCCAAGUAAUAGGGCAAUUAUAGUUUCCAUAGAAAGUAGAAUUUUAAUGGGCUCCUAAAAUUAUAGUUUAGUUGUAGUUUUUCUAAACUGCAAUGCAAUAAUCAUUAAUAUAGUAUAGGAAUGCUAUCGUGUUCCCGUAAAGGCGUUCUGUCUUGUGCUUUGGAAUGCGCGAAUAGAACUUUGCUCGCAGCCUUUCCCGCCUUCAUGCUCGCAAUGCGCGAAUGGAACUUUGCCCACCCGGCUUCCGCGCCUUUUUUGCUCGCGGGUGUAGCCUCAGACAACGAAUGUAUGAGCAUAGAAAGGGUCACGUAUUACAUAAGCCUGGAGGUGAUGUUGAGUGGUCUCACUUAUUAUUUUAAAAGAGCAGUGGCAGUUUACUGUAAUUCUAAUGACCAUGAUGAGCCUUUGGGGUGAAAAUCGUUAAUAUGCGGGUGCUUUUUUGUUGAAUUUUAAUGAGAGAAUCAAUGUCAUUAAGAGUAGGACAAAGGAAAUAAUCUUGCGAUUCAAUAAUUAAUAGAAGUCUUUGCCGCUGUCUUCUUCUUCUUCAGACAGGAUGUGAUGACGACACGCAGUCUGUAGCAAUGCAUUGACCGUCACUGGAAAAAAAGUGUAGCAAUAGAAAAAUGGUGUGUAUUGCCCUGGACGGAUUUAUGAUGUGCACUGUUUUUGAACAAGAGGAGUGCGUGUGCUUGGAAAUAGUUUGAUGCUGGUUUCCUUCUUUGUUUCUUUUCGCUUUUUCCCCCUUGUUGUCUGACAAACAUGCGCUGACAUGCCUGGGCUUGUUCUGACAUGCUUUCCUUCUAGAUGUAGAUUUUUCCUUUUUGAAGAGAAACAUUCUUGACGAUAGUGCUGCCUUGAAUGGGAAUAGUGCUAUUCUUAAUACUUUUGCGAUUCAUUUAGUUCAGAGAGUAUAACCGCGAGGGGGACAGGUGUGUGACUUUAUUCAGGAGGAACAAAGCAUCAUUAUUCAAUUAUCUGCCUGGCUCUCGGGUGGGCCUGGAGGUGAUGUGGAGUGGACUCACUUAUUAUUUUAAAGAGCAGUGGUAGUUUACUGUAAUUCUAAUGACCAUGAUGAGCCUUUGGGGUGAAAAUCGUUAAUAUGCAGGGUGCUUUUUUGUUGAAUUUUAAUGAGAGAAUCAAUGUCAUUAAGAGUAGGACAAAGGAAAUAAUCUUGCGAUUCAAUAAAUAAUAGGAGUCUUUGCCGGUGUCUUCUUCUUCGGACAGGAUGUGAUGACGUCACGCAGUCUGUAGCAAUGCAUUGACCGUUACUGGAAAAAAGUGUGGCAAUAGAAAAAUGGUGUGUAUUGUCCUGGGCAGAUUUAUGAUGAGCACUGUUUUUGAAUAAGAAGAAAUAGUUUGAUGCUGGUUUCCUUCUUUGUUUCUUUUCGCUUUUUCCCCCCUUGUCUGACAAACAUGUGCUGACAUGCCUGGGCUUGUUCUGACAUGCUUUCCUUCUGCAUGUAGUUUUUUUCUUUUUGUACAAGACAUAUUCUUGACGAUAGUGCUGCCUUGAAUGGGAGUAGAGCUAUUCUUAAUAAUUUUGCGAUUCAUUUAGUUCAGAGAGUAACCGCGAGGGGGACAGGUGUGUGACUUUAUGUCUUGCUGAACCAUUUUUUUUUUUUCCUGUACAGUAAGACUUUGGGAAUGAAAUGCUACAAUCUCCUCUUGUCUAUGGUGUUUUUCUGCAAUAAUUCCCCACGCAAUCAUUAUAGUAGAAUAAAGGAAAUAAUCUUGGGAUAGUGAUUCAAUAAAUAAUAUGUCCCCUGUCUAGAGCGUACGCGUCCUUGAGCCACGCACCUGCAUGAUGACCGCAUACCGAGAGACUAUUGUUUCAGGUUGACCUUGUCUAGAGGAGCAUUAGUGGAAAAAAACUGUGUAGCCCUGAGACAAUAGGAUGCCGUUACGACCAAUGAGAACGGCCUGCAGGGGGCGCAAGGAUUCACUUCUCUCUUGGACACUGACGGGUCUCGACACGCAAAUUCUGCUCCUGGCGUUGGCCGUCAGUGGAAGAGCGUAGCUUAGGUGGAUUUUGUGACGAGCGGAUUUACAAUGAGGGAAUGCUGUGAACGGGAAAAAUGAUGAGCUGUCCUAACUUGCCCAGACAUGCCAUGAUGACGUCACAGCUGACGUCACAGGAUGUCCGGAACUUGUGGUCAUAGCUGGGAUGCUUUGCAACCUGCCUCUGUGCUCCGUCGCCCGGCGAUGGUCAGCGGCCUUUCCGGGCCGCUUCCUUCAAGAUGGCGUCGUUGAUCUUCAACUAAACUCCUUCUCUCCACUCUAUCUCUAUCUAUUUUUUUAUUUUUUAUGACCACGUUUAUCCGGAAACGCACAGGGUGGUCUGGACACUAGUUAGACGCUCCCCAAUUAGUGUGAUGACUCAUUGGAUGAUGCUGAUUAAUGUGGGGGGUCCCAAUUAGCUCUAAUUGCUAAUUAAUGGCGUCCAGAAGCCUUGUAGCGUUUCCGGAUAAGCGUGGUCAGUACU